UACGUAGGGGGCAAGCGUUGUCCGGAGUUACUGGGCGUAAAGCGCACGCAGGCGGUGCUGCGCGUUUGGGGUUACAGCUCCCGGCUCAACCGGGAGAGCGCCUCGAAGACGGCAGCACUUGAGGGCCAGAGAGGGACACGGAACUCCGGGUGGAGUGGUGAAAUGCGUAGAUAUCCGGAAGAACACCAAAGGCGAAGGCAGUGUCCUGGCUGGUACCUGACGCUCAGGUGCGAAAGCUAGGGGAGCGAACGGG
rnacentral:rRNA from 1 species